rnacentral:rRNA from 1 species
AGUGAACGCUGGCGGUAGGCCUAACACAUGCAAGUCGAACGGCAGCACAGUAAGAGCUUGCUCUUACGGGUGGCGAGUGGCGGACGGGUGAGGAAUACAUCGGAAUCUACUUUUUCGUGGGGGAUAACGUAGGGAAACUUACGCUAAUACCGCAUACGACCUACGGGUGAAAGCAGGGGAUCUUCGGACCUUGCGCGAUUGAAUGAGCCGAUGUCGGCUUAGCUAGUUGGCGGGGUAAAGGCCCACCAAGGCGACGAUCCGUAGCUGGUCUGAGAGGAUGGUCAGCCACAUUGGAACUGAGACACGGUCCAGACUCCUACGGGAGGCAGCAGUGGGGAAUAUUGGACAAUGGGGGCAAGCCUGAUCCAGCCAUACCGCGUGGGUGAAGAAGGCCUUCGGGUUGUAAAGCCCUUUUGUUGGUAAAGAAAAGCAGCAGGUUAAUACCCCGCUGUUCUGACGGUACCCAAAGAAUAAGCACCGGCUAACUUCGUG